rnacentral:rRNA from 1 species
GACGAACGCUGGCGGCGUGCUUAACACAUGCAAGUCGAACGGUAAGGCCCUUCGGGGUACACGAGUGGCGAACGGGUGAGUAACACGUGGGUGAUCUGCCUCAUAGAGGGGAAUAGCCUCCCGAAAGGGAGAUUAAUACCGCAUAACAUCGUUGAAGGGCAUCCUUCGAUGAUCAAAGGAGCAAUCCGCUAUGAGAUGGGCCCGCGGCGCAUUAGCUAGUUGGUGAGGUAACGGCUCACCAAGGCGACGAUGCGUAGCCGACCUGAGAGGGUGAUCGGCCACAUUGGGACUGAGACACGGCCCAGACUCCUACGGGAGGCAGCAGUGGGGAAUAUUGCACAAUGGGGGAAACCCUGAUGCAGCAACGCCGCGUGAGUGAUGACGGCCUUCGGGUUGUAAAGCUCUGUCUUUGGGGACGAUAAUGACGGUACCCAAGGAGGAAGUCACGGCUAACUACGUGCCAGCCGCCGCAGUAA